rnacentral:rRNA from 1 species
AUUGAACGCUGGCGGCAGGCCUAACACAUGCAAGUCGAACGAGUGGCGGACGGGUGAGUAAUGUCUGGGAAACUGCCUGAUGGAGGGGGAUAACUACUGGAAACGGUAGCUAAUACCGCAUACCAUCGGAUGUGCCCAGAUGGGAUUAGCUAGUAGGUGGGGUAACGGCACACCUAGGCGACGAUCCCUAGCUGGUCUGAGAGGAUGACAAGCCACACGGGGACUGAGACACAGUCCAGACUCCUACGGGAGGCAGCAGUUGGGAAUAUUGCACAAUGGGCGCAAGCCUGAUGCAGCCAUGCCGCGUGUAUGAAGAAGGCCUUCGGGGUGUAAAGUACUUUCAGCGGGGAGGCGUUACCCGCAGAAGAAGCACCGGCUAACUCCGUGCCAGCAGCCGCGGUAAUUC